rnacentral:lncRNA from 1 species
AAAUUGCCACACACGCGCAUGCUCUCUCACGCGUCUCACUCUGUUCAAUAGCUCAACGUUGCUCGAAUUUUGCCAAGUUUCCUCAUCGCGCAGUGUCGGCUCCGAUCUCUCUCACCACGCAGCAGCCAGCAAGUCUCAGCUCUCCUCACGCAACAAUAGUCUCGUCUCCGACAGCUGCUGUAAUCGUCUUGUUAAGGUAACUCAUUUACGUGCUGCUUAUGAGUUGACUGUUAGGGAGCUGUUGUUUGUGAAAGCAAAUCCAGAAAACCAAAACGGCAGAAGACUUUGCGUUUUGUUAACUGAAGCUGUUAUGGAACAGCUGAGGUGGAAGCAAUUGGUUGGAGAGCGGAGAGAGCUGAAGAGAGAGAAGGAAGCUGUUUAUAUAAAGCUAAUUGUGACCCUUCUUGGAUGAUCCAAGCAUUACUCUGUAAUUCAUCUCAAGGAAAUCAAUAAAGCUGCGUUAUUUCCCUUCCGUGGAUGUAAGUUAGAGAAAUCUAGCUGAACCACGUUAAGAUUCUUUUGUUCUUUCGAUUACGUUACUUCUGUUGAUUUUUUAGUCAUAUUAGUUUAAUCAUCUAGUUCCAGAGUAUCAUCUUAGUCGUGACUUUUCAGUUAAGCAUCUUGCUGCAUCUUGUUCUUUUGGCUUGAGGUCUUGGGGUAGAGUCUUGGGUUGUUUUAUCAGUCUAUAGCACCUGGGAUUCUACAAUUGGUAUCAGAGCUGGAUCUACAACCAAAGACAAGUAUGGUUUCAACCAAGAUCGAUCUUGAGAAGUUUACUGGCAAGAAUGAUUUCAACAUGUGGAAGGUGAAGAUGGAGGCCUUGCUGAUAACACAGGGAUUAGGAGAUGCACUUGAACCUGUCACCAAGAAGGAAGGGAAAGAAGAAUCAUCCUCCAAGACACCUGAAAUGGCAGCCGAGAUAGACAAGAAGGCCAGAAGCAUCAUCAUAUUGAGCCUUGGUGAUUCAGUGAUAAGGGAGGUUGCCAAGGAGAAGACUGUUGCAGACCUAUGGGCCAAAUUAGAAAAGAUUUAUAUGACUAAAUCUUUAGCUAAUCGACUAUAUAUCAAAAGAAGGAUGUUCACACUGAAGAUGGCUGAAGGGUCCUCUCUGGAUGAUCAUAUUGAUGAAUUCAAUCAAGUGUGUGACACACUUGAAACCAUUGAUGAGGGGCUGGAUGAUGAAGGGAAGGCAUUACUUCUGGUGAGCUCUCUACCACAGUCUUAUUCAAAUCUUGUGGAUGCCCUUAUGUAUGGAAGAUCAACCUUAUCAUUAGAUGAGGUUAAGGCUGCCUUGAAUACUAGAGGGCUACAAGAAAAAUCUGGGAAUAUGAUGCACGCUGAAGGGUUAUCAGUUAAGGGUAAGUUUAACAAAAAUGAUGGAAAGAAGAAGAAACAAAAGCAAGACAAGUCCAAAUCACAAAACAAAAAGUGCUUUCAUUGUAACAAAGAAGGCCACUUCAAGAGAGACUGUCAAGAACUAAAGAACAAAAUUAAAGAAAGAAAUGGUGAUGCAGCUACUGUGGAGGAAGAAGGCUAUGAAUCUGCUGGUGUAUAUGUGGCUACAGAGGAUCUCUAGAGAGGUAAAUGGAUACUAGAUUCUGGUUGCACAUUUCAUAUGUGCCCAUUUAAAACUUACUUCUCUAAUUACCAUGAUUUAGAUGGGGGAAAAGUAAUGAUGGGUAACAAUGCUGUAUGUAAAGUCAUAGGCAUGGGAAAUGUGAGUCUUAGGCUUCAUGAUUGGACAAUUUGGGAACUUAGAGAGAUCAGAUAUGUUCCUGAUCUAAAGAGAAACUUAAUCUCACUAGGUUUGAUAGAUCAGAAUGGGUUUAGUGUUAAGCUUGAAUCUGGUAGAUUGUUUAUCAUGAAGGGCUCUAAGAUAGUGAUGAGAGGAUAAAAAAGAAAUGGAGUAUAUGUCCUAGAUGGUGAGGCAAUUACAGGAACAACAGAUGUAAUUUUUGGCACUGGUGGGGAAGGCACCAGGCUGUGGCACCUAAGAUUGGGGCAUAUGAGUGUUAAAGGGUUAAAAGAACUUGAGAAACAAGGGGUUCUAGGGAAGGAUAAAAUAGAAGAGUUAGAUUUUUGUGAAGAUUGUGUAUUUGGGAAGUCCACAAGACACAGCUUCAAACACUCAACCAGCAAAUCUAUUGGCAUCCUAGACUACAUACACUCUGAUCUCUGAGGACCUGCACAGACAAGCUCAUUAGGUGGAAACAGCUAUUUUUUGUCAAUAAUUGAUGAUUACUCAAGAAGGGUUUGGGUUUAUGUACUGAAGCACAAAGAUCAAGUCUUUAACAAGUUUAAAGAAUGGAAAACCUUAGUUGAGAAUCAGACAGGAAAGAAGGUUAAAAAAUUAAGAACAGAUAAUGGACUUGAGUUCUGCAAUCAGCAAUUUAACAGCUACUGUGCAAAUGAGGGGAUAUCAAGGCACAAAACAGUGAGGUUAACACCUCAGCAGAAUGGAUUGGCAGAAAAGAUGAACAGGACCCUGAUGGAUAAGGUGAGGUGCAUGCUAGUGCAAGCAAAGCUACCAAAGGGCCUCUGGGCAGAAACCUUAUUAACAGCAAGCUACCUGGUGAAUUUGAGUCCUUUUGCUGCUCUAAAUUUCAAGACUCCAUUUGAAAUGUGGCAUGGAAAACCAGCAAGCUAUGUCAAUCUUAAAGUGUUUGGAUGCCCUGAUUAUGCACAUAUCAAUCAAGGAAAGUUAGCACCCAGGGCUCUUAAAGGUCAGUUCCUAGGCUAUCCUGAUGGAGUUAAAGGAUACAAACUAUGGUGCACUGAUCUAGAACCUCCAAGGUGUAUAAUAAGCAGAGAUGUGGCAUUUAAUGAGAAGGUUGUGUUGGAAGUCAGAAAGGAUGCUGGGUUGAAAACUCAGAAACCUCAAGUGCAAUAUGACAUCCAAUUUGAGGUGGAGCAUCCUGAUUCAAAGAAAUCUGAGAUGGGUGACAGUUCAGAUAAAGACAGUGAAGAUCGUGAUGAAUACAGUGGCCCUCAACUAAAAUCUCAGAUGCAGACUCAAGUACAGGGUUAUCAGCUGACAAAAGAUAGAGAAAAGAGACAAAUCAGACCACCACAGAGAUAUGGGUAUGCUGAUCUGAUAGCAUAUGCACUGGCUGCUUCACAUGAUAUUGAAGUAGAUGAGCCCAAGAGUUAUGCUGAAGCAAUUCAAAGCUCAAACAAAUCAAAAUGGCAGGAAGCUAUGAAUGAAGAGAUAGCCUCCCUGAAGAAAAAUCACACUUAGAUAUUGGUUGAGAAGGCUGGUAAUAGAAGGACAGUGGGUUGCAAGUGGAUUUUCAGAGUCAAAGAAGGCCUUACAGCUAAUGAACCUAGCAGGUACAAAGCUAGGCUGGUGGCUAAGGGGUACACUCAAAGAGAAUGAGUUGACUUUAAGGAGGUAUUCUCCCAUGUGGUCAGACAUGCCUCCAUAAGGGUAUUGUUAGCAAUAACUGCAGUUCAUGACUUAGAGCUUGAUCAACUUGAUGUCAAGACUGCAUUUUUGCAUGGAAGACUACAUGAAGAAAUCCUUAUGACUCAACCUGAGGGUUAUGUGGAUUCUGAUAAACCAAAUCAUGUCUGCUUGCUGAAAAGAUCAUUGUAUGGGCUCAAGCAAUCUCCAAGGCAAUGGUAUCUCAAGUUUGAUGAGUUCAUGCUGUCACAUGGAUACCUAAGAUGCAGUUUUGAUUGUUGUGUAUAUUACAAGGUAACAAGUACAAAUCUCUACAUAUACCUGUUACUAUAUGUAGAUGAUAUGUUGGUAGCUUGUAAGUCAAGAGAAGAAAUUGAAGCUUUGAAGAAUUUGCUGAACUCUGAAUUUGAGAUGAAAGAUUUGGGGUCAGCAAAGAAGAUACUAGGCAUGGAGAUCAAGAGGGAUAGAAGCAAAGGCAUUAUGUUCCUUUCUCAAGAGAAAUAUCUGAGGAGGGUAUUGGAAACCUUUGGGAUGACCUCAUGUAAACCUGUGAUGACUCCAAUAGCAACACAUUUUAAGCUCUCCAGCCUGCAGUGUCCAAAGACAGAAGAAGAAAAGUUAGAGAUGGCUAAGAUUCCCUAUGCUAAUGCAGUUGGCUGCAUGAUGUAUGCUAUGGUUCUAACUAGGCCUGAUAUCUCCUAUGCUCUAAGUGUAGUUAGCAGAUAUAUGGUGUCCCCUGGAAAAGAGCAUUGGAGAGCUGUAAAAUGGGUGCUAAGAUAUCUAAGUGGAACCUUAAGCUAUGGGUUGGUUUAUGGAAAGUCAGGAAUCAAGUCUGAGGGGAUCUUUGGAUUUGUUGAUUCUGACUUUGCAAGAGACUUAGACAGAAGAAGAUCUCUCACAGGUUAUUUGUACAUGCUGGAUGGUUGUUUGAUUAACUAGAAGGCAAGUCUCCAGCAUGUUGUUGCUUUGUCAACAAUAGAAGCUGAGUAUACAGCAGCUGCUGAAGCAGUAAAGGAAGCCUUAUGGAUGAAAGGCUUGAUAGCUGAGCUUGGAGUGAGUCAGAAGACAGUUGAUGUAUUCUGUGAUAGCUCAAGUGCCAUUUACUUGAGUAAAAACCCAGCUCAUCAUGAGAAAACAAAGCACAUCGACAUCAAGCUGCAUUUCAUUAGAAAUGUAGUUUCCAUGGGUGUGGUCAGAAUGGUGAAGAUACAUACAGACAGAAAUCCUGCUGACAUGUUAACAAAAGUAGUCACUACAGCUAAGUUCAAAGUUUGCUUGGACAUAGCUGGUCUUGGCUGCUGGUAAUUCAUUCUGGAAAUGGAGGGAGAAACCAAGGAUGAUUUGUUUCAAGGUGGAGAAUUGUUGUUUGUGAAAGCAAAUCCAGAAAACCAAAACGGCAGAAGACUUUGCGUUUAGAAGCUGGAAACACUUAAACUCAAACGGCACAGGAUCCUGCGUUUUGAUGUGUACAAGAAUUACACUUCUGAACGACGCAUGGAGUUGUCGUUUAGAUUUAAGUGAUGCACGCAUAUGUCACGUGCUUGAGCUCAGCUUGCAAAGUUCGUUAUUUGUCGUUAGAAGCACGAGGAACUCACGUGAGGUGCUGGAGAUUUUCUGGGUUCGUUAACUGAAGCUGUUAUGGAACAGCUGAGGUGGAAGCAAUUGGUUGGAGAGCGGAGAGAGCUGAAGAGAGAGAAGGAAGCUGUUUAUAUAAAGCUAAUUGUGACCCUUCUUGGAUGAUCCAAGCAUUACUCUGUAAUUCAUCUCAAGGAAAUCAAUAAAGCUGCGUUAUUUCCCUCCCGUGGAUGUAAGUUAGAGAAAUCUAGCUGAACCACGUUAAGAUUCUUUUGUUCUUUCGAUUACGUUACUUCUGUUGAUUCUUUAGUCAUAUUAGUUUAAUCAUCUAGUUCCAGAGUAUCAUCUUAGUCGUGACUUUUCAGUUAAGCAUCUUGCUGCAUCUUGUUCUUUUGGCUUGAGGUCUUGGGGCAGAGUCUUGGGUUGUUUUAUCAGUUUAUAGCACCUGGGAUUCUACAGGAGCUGAAGCUCAUUGUCCUGUAAUUGCAACCUUCGUGAUGUUGAGGAAAGUUUAUCCUGUAAUUGCAGCCUCCAUGUUUAUUUGUUUCAAAGAAAGAGUUGCUUUAUAUUACUCAGAUCUUUAUGCUCUGUUAAUAAAUUAUAUUGCCCAUUGUUUCAAUAGAUUUAAAAGAAAAAACUUACAGCCCACCGACAUUAAGCUUAUGUUAUAAAUAUUACUGAAAGUGAAUCAUUUUUUUAUAUAAUUUAAAGUGAACAUUGAGCUUAUUCUAUAAUUAUCACUUAAAUUACAGCCCCCGAACAUUUAAAGUGAAUCAAUUUUUCAUUUAUAGCAUAUUUAGCUUGUAUGUGGUUUACUUUAGCAAUCUUUUGUUGUUUCCAGUUAGUUGAUAAGAAAUAUUUUCAUUUUGUAGAAACAAAGAACAUGGCAAAAAUGAUUGAAGUUGAAGAGUUGGAGAAAAUUGAGGAGGACAAGUUAGAGGGUGAUGAGCCAAUGUGUUUUAAGAAUGAAGAAUGCAUGUGUUUGACAUGAUGCAUUUGAACAUUUU